rnacentral:rRNA from 1 species
CCUACGGGAGGCAGCAGUAGGGAAUGUUCGUCAAUGGGCGCAAGCCUGAACGAGCGAUGCCGCGUGAGUGAAGAAGGCCUUCGGGUCGUAAAGCUCUGUUGCGGGGGAAAAAAGGCAGCAUCAGGAAAUGGGUGCUGACUGAUGGUGCCCCGCCAGAAAGUCACGGCUAACUACGUGCCAGCAGCCGCGGUAAUACGUAGGUGGCGAGCGUUAUCCGGAAGGAUUGGGCGUAAAGGGUGCGCAGGCGGUCCUGCAAGUCUGGAGUGAAACGCAUGAGCUCAACUCAUGCAUGGCUUUGGAAACUGGAGGACUGGAGAGCAGGAGAGGGCGGUGGAACUCCAUGUGUAGCUGUAAAAUGCGUAGAUAUAUGGAAGAACACCAGUGGCGAAGGCGGCCGCCUGGCCUGUUGCUGACGCUGAGGCACGAAAGCGUGGGGAGCAAAUAGGAUUAGAUACCCUAGUAGUC